rnacentral:snRNA from 1 species
GAAUGUAAGGCUGAUCUGGCUGUGACAUCUGUCACCCCAUUGAUUGCCAGGUUUGAUUUGUUUAAUAAGGCUGGCUAGGUGGGUGCCCUCUUCCUCCUUCACGACUUCUUUCCUAAUAGAAGAAGAGUGUUGUUAGACCAAGGUUACAGAAUUAGCUGCAGUCCUCUGGUACAAACUCCAAACAAGCUCUCACAGUUCAUUUGUAGAAGAACAUCAAGUUCCAAGACAAAAGAUACAUCCAAAUAAAAAAGCUACAUAUAGCAGUCUGCCUUUCUUU